UGGCCCUUAGACAAAUAUAUUUGUGAGGCAUUGAGACAGCUGAAUGACCGGAACUAUUAUCAACAAUUACCAUCAGACCCAACGGACUACUUCCAAAGGAGGUUCACACACAUUCUUGACUCAGCCCUGGAAUACGGAGUAAUAUCUAAAAAGGAACUUGAAUACCUGCAGCCCCUGGUAACAGCACUACCAUCAUAUUUGAGAGAUUCUCUACACCUGAUGCAAAUGAUUAAGGACAUACAAAUCCCGAAAGGAACAUUAUUAGUUACAUGUGACGUAGAAUCACUGUACUCCAAUAUCGGACACCAAGAUGGCAUCUGUGCAAUUACAUACUACUUGGAACAACAGGUACACAGGAAGAAUGUUUGGAAUUUAUUUCUUUUCUUAAUCAGAACAACGUCAAUGUAAGACUGACGCACACUAUCUCCCCUUGGGCAGUGGAAUUUCUGGAUCUUCGAAUAGAGACACACCUUGAGGGGGAUCCCUACCGGACAAUUUCUGCGUGUGAGAAGAAACUGUAGCCGACCCCAAGAUUUCAAAGUACAGGCUUUGGACCUUACUAACAGAUUCAAAAAGAGGGGAUACCCGAAAAGUAUUAUAUCCCAGGCCUACCAAAGGGCUAAUGGCAUUGAGAGAAGAGCACUCCUUGAGGGGACUUCUAAAAGACUGGAGGAUAACACUAUAAGAUUUGUGGCCACAUAUAACAACCAGUGGCAGGACAUCAGGAAGAUAUUAGGUGAGAACUGGAACAUUUUGCUAUCAGAUAACCAGGUUAGAAAUGUGAUACCUGAGAGACCAAUGUUGGUCUCAAGAAGAGCGCCAAACUUGAGGGAUUUAUUAACAAGGAGCCACUUUCAGAGACCCACAAGAACUCUAGGCCGGGGUUUUAAACAUCAUGGAUCAUAUCCGUGUGGAGAUUGUACUGCCUGUCAAUUUAUGACACCUAAGCAAGUAUUUACCAAUCCACGAAAUGGAAAAAGCUACCAUCUAAAAAAUUACAUCAACUGUAAAACAUCACAGGUCAUAUAUACCAUCAUUUGCCCUUGUGGUAAACUAUAUGUGGGACAAACAGGACAACAGCUUAGAAAAAGAAUACAGAAGCAUCUAUCCACCAUAGCAUUGGCUCGUCGAGAUAAAGACAGAUUCAAAACCCUGACAACCGUGGCAAACCACUUUUUGGAACAUCAUGGAGGACGCCCAUAUGGCUUACAGGUUAUCGGCUUGGAAAGAAUUAUGACAAAUAUGAGAGGAGGACCCAUUACCCAAAGAUUACUACAAGUAGAAUCCAAAUGGAUUUUCGAAUUGGGAACAGUGUCUCCCUGGGGCAUGAACGAGGACCUACUGUUUACUGGCUUUUUGGGUGAGUGAGGAGCUGUCAUUACUGUGGCUAUUCUGUUAUAUGUGUGUGUUCACACAUCCAAUUAUGUGGUAUGGGUGUGCGUUUUUACGGACACUCAUGCAUAGAUCCUUUGGAGAGAUUGUACACUUUUAUGUUUCAGGUCGACGAUCAUUCAGGCACUUUCCAGUAGGGAUGACUUAAAGUGAUAUCAAGUUUACAUGUCACUCAUU